rnacentral:lncRNA from 1 species
GGAGAGCUGUCCAGAGGAAAAUGUUUGCAGCGUGGGCAAUCAUGUUGGCAGUCAGUAAUCAAUCAGCUCCCUUGUGUAAAACACAGAGCCAGCCAUUGAUUGCUUGCAGCUCUGCCAACGGGCCCCAGGGCUUUCAAUGGACUGAAAAUGCAUAGUUGCUAUUUGGAUCCAGUCACCCUUCAUCCGACUCAGAAAGUUAAGAGUAAAUUAGUUUUUUGGUACUAGGAUGCUUAUAAAAUCAACCUGCUUUAGUGCAAUCCCUAAGCUCUCUCUGGUGAAUAACUUGCUGAGUGGGAAGGAGAGCUUCUGAUGCUUUUUUCAUGUUCCUCAUCAACUGCUCUGCUGCUGCCUCCUGCAUCUGUGCCAAAUCUGGCCAGGAGUAAGUGCUACAAAGGGGGGAGAGAGCAGAUUCAUGCCUGUGUAAUUGCUGUCAGGUUUGACUGGGGAAGGAGGUGCUAAUGACACCGUGAAACCACGGUCUGCGCUCUUGGGUGGUUUGUGCCAGGUUUAUGCACAGCAUGGUUACUCUGGAAGCACUUUGGAAAGUUCAAGGGAAAAGAUCAGGGGAAAAGAACACCUCUGGAAGUUUUUGUUGAAGGUCUGAAAAUGCAAUAUUCCAAAUUUUCUUCUUGCAUGGCCGUCCUGUGGAAUGGUGACAUACGGAGCUGCAAGAGAAGGGAAUAUGCUCAGUUCCUCUCAGUGAGAAGAAUGAAUCUUUCAAGGCAAAACAGCUGUUCCUAAGAAAAUGAAGACAGCUGAGGAGCUGGUAUGAAUGUUACAAGUAAAUGAAUAUAUGAAGUACAUCUGACUGUUGGAGAUGACUAAGAAAUGAUGAAUGACCCUUUAACACAUUAAAAAAGUGAGUGAAUGGGUAGCCUAAGGUGUGCAGGACACCCAUGCUUUUAGAAUGACAAGAGAUGGAGAUAAUCUGACUUCUUGGGAUAAAAUUGGCACUGCUUUACAAACAAGACAAGCAGCACAUCCCCUGCAGGAUACUGGUACCUGGUCUUUAACAGCAGGAUCCUGCUUUACCCAGAGCACUCUGGCCUCUGAGGCUCCUUUGUCAGCCUCUGGUUUCUCAUGAAUGAUCUGGGAGUGUGGGUUAUCUCUAACUUUUCCCCCUGUUUUCAAAAGAGCAUGAUGUUAAAAGCAAAGGUUUUGUGCAGCUGUGGUGGCUCAUCUCAGAACAUGUAGUGCUGCACACACAAAAUAAGGGUUGAGCAUAGUCAUGCAUCAUUCAUUUGUGCCUGAAGGGUGGUUGCUUUUGUGCUCUCUGGUUUUCUGGUCGUUGUAUCAUGCUUGGGAAUGAUCUUGAGCCACGGACAUGAGCACAGUGCUCCAACCCCAAAAUGAAGGCCACUGAAGGAUUUUUCAGUGCUUCAUCCUCUCAGCCAAGGCUGUCAGACUCGGCUGGUGCAAAGUCCUGGGAAAUCCCACUGCAGGCUCAAAGCCUCAGGCACCAUUUUUUGAUGUACACAAAAGACCUUGUUUUAAUAGGAAUUAAUUAGCAGUUUAAGUACUUGAAGGGUAGGAAAUCCCCCACAGGGUAUACUCGUUAAGGUUUCUUUACACAUUACCUCCCAGGAGGAUGCAGACUUUCCCUUCGUUUCCUGCAUCACUCUCUGCUUCAGCAGUAACUCCAGUAAUUGUACAACAACCCCAAAGUACUGAAACUGCAACCAUAAAUUCCUUCCAGUGCUCAUCUGUUCCCCUGUGUUAGACAGGACGGUGAUGGGCAAUAAUUUAUCAAAGAGCCUGAGGAUGUAAUGUCACAUAUUCAUGCCCAGGGUGUAAUGAUGAUGUGAUAAUGUCAGUGUAACCACACAUCUUGUUUGCAUUAUUUAUUGCUCUCAUGAAUGACAAAUUUGUAUUUAAAAAUGACUGAGAAAUUUAUCUGCUGUUCCAAAAAGCCAAAUUAUGAAGGUGGCAUAAUCUUACCUCUAGGGCAGACAUUCCCUUUUAUUAUUGGCAUUUAAUAAGAGAAUAUGUAAUUAAAGGAAAGUAAUUAACCUAUUUCUAGGAAGUUUGUAUCUUGAAUAAACAGGCAGCUUUAAGUGUGCUGCCA